rnacentral:rRNA from 1 species
UGUGCCAGAUCGUUUACCGUGAAAAAAUUAGAGUGUUCAAAGCAGGCAGAUCCAAUUUUCUGCCACCGAAUACAUUAGCAUGGGAUAAUGGAAUAGGACCCUGUCCUCCUAUUUUCAGUUGGUUUUGGCACGCGAGGACCAGGGUAAUGAUUAAUAGGGAUAGUUGGGGGCAUUAAUAUUUAAUUGUCAGAGGUGAAAUUCUUGGAUUUAUGAAAGAUUAACUUCUGCGAAAGCAUCUGCCAAGGAUGUUUUCAUUAAUCAAGAACGAAAGUUAGGGGAUCGAAGACGAUCAGAUACCGUCGUAGUCUUAACCAUAAACGAUGCCGACCAGCGAUUAGGAGACGUUGAAUACAAAACACCACCAUCGGUGCGGUCUCCCGGCACAUGUCGUGGCGCAAGUGACGGCCAGGUGUGAGAACGUAAGUCUGAUUA